GGGGUUGUGGCUCAGUGGCAAAGCGCUUGCUUAGCAUGUACGAGGGGCUGGGUUUGAUCCUCAGCACCACA
rnacentral:tRNA from 1 species